rnacentral:rRNA from 1 species
UACGAAGGGGGCUAGCGUUGUUCGGAAUUACUGGGCGUAAAGCGCGCGCAGGUGGUCUUUCAAGUCAGUGGUGAAAGCCCGGAGCUCAACUCCGGAAAUGCCAUUGAAACUGUAAGACUUGAGGAUGAGAGAGGUGAGUGGAAUUCCCAGUGUAGAGGUGAAAUUCGUAGAUAUUGGGAAGAACACCGGUGGCGAAGGCGGCCAACUGGACAGAUACUGACGCUGAGACACGAAAGCGUGGGGAGCAAACAGG